rnacentral:rRNA from 1 species
AUUGAACGCUGGCGGCAUGCCUUACACAUGCAAGUCGAACGGCAGCACGGGAGCAAUCCUGGUGGCGAGUGGCGAACGGGUGAGUAAUAUAUCGGAACGUGCCCAGUCGUGGGGGAUAACGCAGCGAAAGCUGUGCUAAUACCGCAUACGAUCUAAGGAUGAAAGCGGGGGAUCGCAAGACCUCGCGCGAUUGGAGCGGCCGAUAUCAGAUUAGCUAGUUGGUGGGGUAAAGGCCCACCAAGGCGACGAUCUGUAGCUGGUCUGAGAGGACGACCAGCCACACUGGGACUGAGACACGGCCCAGACUCCUACGGGAGGCAGCAGUGGGGAAUUUUGGACAAUGGGGGCAACCCUGAUCCAGCAAUGCCGCGUGAGUGAAGAAGGCCUUCGGGUUGUAAAGCUCUUUUGUCAGGGAAGAAACAGCAGCUCUAACACAGUCUGCGAAUGACGGUACCUGAAGAAUAAGCACCGGCUAACUACGUGCCAGCAGCCGCGGUAA